UCUGUGUAGUCCUGGCUGUAA
rnacentral:piRNA from 1 species